CAAGAACAACAACUUGGCAAAAAUGCUUUGGCAGAAAACUGCAAACCAACAAACAAGCCCUUUCCUUCUGAUAUCUGAAGAAAAAGUGCAAGUAGAGGAGAGGAGAAAGAGGAAUAGUAAGUGGAAGACUGAGCUGGAUGCAUCUCUGGGAGCUUGCGUCAGACCCAGGCUCUUUGAAGGACCAUAUAUUUCCAUGUGGGCAUGCCCAAGCCUUAAGAUGUACAAGCCCAC
rnacentral:lncRNA from 11 species